rnacentral:lncRNA from 1 species
CUUUUCCAUGAAGGUCCCCAAUUGGGCAGUGCCCUGAAAUCACUUCUAAUGCUGAUGCUAGGCAACACCUCAGACCUACUGCUCAGACCCUCCAGGGGCAGGGCCCAGGAUUGAAGAGGGAAGCCCUGCUCCACACGUGUUCAUCAGGAAGGACCCACAGACUGCUGCUCCUGGAGGCCUCUCGGUUUAUGGAUGUGUGUUUGUUCCAUAAACCCUCAGAGGGUCACCUGGAGACCCGCUAAAAUGCAGGUUCUUGGGCCACAUCCUAGACCUUCUGACCGACCCAGGGAGUGGGGCCCAGGAAGCUGCAUUUGACAGAUAUCCCCGUGUGAUCAUCAUGCACACAGGAGUGAGAGAACCAGUGUUCUCCCCGGGCAGAAGGGAAGCUCGUGUGCAGGACACCUCACACCUCCUUUCCCAUUCCCCUGCCAGGCUCUCCCUGCUGACAUUGUUUUUGCGGGAGAGCUGUGAAUUCUGAAGAUUAGGUUGCUUCUCACCCCAAGCUCCAGAAGUCCAGGCUGAGCCAAACCAAGCUUCAAGUUGUGCCUGGACUUGGAGAACCAGGAGGUGAGGGGACUGACUACUUGAAGAUCACAUGGAGGAGGAGUCUGAUCCAGGCCCAGGAUCCUGGAUGUCUCAGUCUCCCCAGGUGAUCAUGUGGCCUCAGAAGCCAGAGCUAGAUGUGCUCCUGAUCUUGUAGCCCCUCGUCCUAUGCCUCAUCAAAACCAGGGGUCAUUGGAAUGGACUGAAGAAGGAGAAAACUAGAAAGGAUCUGAGGGAAGUGGUCUGGCUGAAAGCUUGACGUGGACAGAGUCCUGGCUCUCAGGCAGACACUUAAAUUCUCCUGGUGCUGCAGACAUCACAGCUGAAUCCAUUUAAAAGAGGAUGGCAAAUAUAUAAAUCAUGACCUCAAAAUUCCUUCAAUCUCUCACAGGACACCAGGGAAAUAUUUUAUUAUCCCUCAAUAACAACCAGGGUCAGGAAUAAAUUUGGAAUUCUUUAAUUUAGGCUCCAGUUCAUUUGCUAAAUUAAAUGCUUGAAAUAAUUUCCUGCUAUGAAAAUAUGAGACUCUUACUAU